UUAGCUUAGAGUGUUUUACACUGGGGAGUUCCAAUGUGUUUAAAUUGUAAAACUUUUUCCGAGCAUUUUUGUAGCAGAACUCCAUGUUCUAAUAGCCCCGGCAAAGUUGUUUUUAAUACUUUUUCUCUACGAAUUUUCAUUAAAAUUUAAUUCCAUUUUAACUUUGUCAAUUUUCCCCAAAGAUAAAUUAAGACACACAGAGAGAUUGUCAUUUCCUGUUUGAAGUCUCAUUCCUGUGUACAAUGUCAGUCUUUUUUAUUUAGGCCUAUGCCAUUCCAUCAGGGUAAAUAACUUUCUAACUAGUCAUUUAAGAGCAACUCCCGGGAAACUGUGAUGCAAUCCCACAUAUCAGCCAGACUUCAAAAGCUGCCAGAUUAUUGUGAAAGGAGAAACACUGUUUUCGAAGGCUGCUGAUAAUGCCUAUUAGCCAGAAGAAAGAGCCUGAAUCAUUCAAAGGUUUUCCAUCUAGUAAAGAAGUGUGGUAAAAAUCUUGCCCAGAUCUGCAUGUGCUAAGCAUCUACGUAAGUUGGAGCAUCAUAUUAAUGACACCCAGUGAAGAAACGAAAGAAUGAAGUGUAAUUACUAUAUCAAAAAUCCACAGAAUGUGAAAGUAUAAAGGAAAACUCUCAGUCACACACACAAAACAGGAAACCAGCAGUUGUAAUUUCUUCAGCAAUUCUUAAUGUAAGUUUUUAAUAGUUUAGUACUUUUCUUUCAUAAGUAUUGGACCAAGCUGUAA
rnacentral:lncRNA from 1 species